ensembl:lncRNA
CCCCCUGGAGCAGCUCCUUAACUUCUUACUUCCCAGAAGUGUUUGCCUGAGGCAGCCCAAGUGAAAAUGGCCAGGAUAGAGUGCCUGACUCAUCAUCCAGAAUAAGCAAAAGUAAAGAGCCUGGGAAUUUAGAAACAGGUCAGAAGCUAUUUGAAGAAUGACACAGAAUUGAGUUUGAGACCAAAAAAAUGUGUGCUCUAAAUCAUGUUUUUGCAGGACGUAAGUGGAAGUUUCCAGUGUGGAUGUCAUUUGGUUUGGAACACAUUUUCUUAGGAAAAGCAGAAGGUUGUGAUGGAAGAAACUAAGGAUCUUGGAAUUGGAUAGACCUAUUCCCAUCUUCUCUAACUUCAAAGUACUGCAAACAGGUUUUCGCCAUGUGGUCCAGGCUGGUCUCAAACUCCUGAGCUCAAGGAAUCCGCCCACCUCAGCCUCCCAGAGUGCUGGGAUUACAGACAUGAGCCACCACACCCUGCCUCAGGAUACAAUUUUUAAACUACAGAAAGUCAAGGGUUCUGUCAGAAUCUACUCUUAAAAUACAAUCCACGUGUAAAGAAGCUGAUACAACAGCAAUAUCCAAGUAAAGUAACAUGAGACAGCUGUCCUAGACUAGCUGAUGAGAUACUGAUCAAAGGAGGGAAGGAGGG